GAAAUGCGAUAAGUAAUGUGAAUUGCAGAAUUCAGUGAAUCAUCGAAUCUUUGAACGCACAUUGCGCCCCCUGGUAUUCCGGGGGGCAUGCCUGUUCGAGCGUCAUUUAAACCCUCAAGCUCAGCUUGGUGUUGGGGCCUGCCCACCGGCAGCCCUUAAAAUCAGUGGCGGUGCCAUCUGGCUCUAAGCGUAGUAAUUUCUCUCGCUAUAGGGUCCCGGUGGAGACUUGCCAAAACCCCCAAUUUUUCUAUGGUUGACCUCGGAUCAGGUAGGGAUACCCGCUGAACUUAA
rnacentral:misc_RNA from 1 species